rnacentral:rRNA from 1 species
AUACGUAGGGGGCGAGCGUUAUCCGGAAUUAUUGGGCGUAAAGAGUGCGUAGGUGGUUUUUUAAGCGCAGGGUUUAAGGCUACAGCUUAACUGUAGUUCGCCCUGCGAACUGAAAGACUUGAGUGCAGGAGGGGACAGCGGAAUUCCUAGUGUAGCGGUGAAAUGCGUAGAUAUUAGGAGGAACACCAGGGGCGAAGGCGGCUUUCUGGACUGAAACUGACACUGAGGCACGAAAGCGUGGGGAGCAAACGGGAUUAGAUACCCUGGUAGUCCACGCCGUAAACGAUGAGCACUAGGUGUCGGGGGGAAGAACCCUCGGUGCCGCAGUUAACGCAAUAAGUGCUCCGCCUGGGGAGUACGCACGCAAGUGUAAAACUCAAAUGAAUUGACGGGG